rnacentral:lncRNA from 11 species
AUGGACUUUUCACAGAAGCUGAGAAGGGCCACAGGGGCAGGCCGAGCACAGUCGGGCAGCUGGAAGAGUCCCCCUCGAUCACCAUGUUCCUUCAGACAAAAAAGGACCAACUCUAGAAAUUGUAUUCAAGGUCACCAUCUUGGGAUUAUCGGAUGUCUACUCAAUGACAGUACUGUAAGACUACAACAAUAGAACUCGACUGUUCAAACUUCUCAGAGCCUUUUUCAGGUAGACGGUUAUAACUUUAGAUCAUUUGAACUGGUGGUGUUCAAAGCAAUCUAAAAUUAAUCUAGACAGCUGGCUUCAUCUGUGAUUUAUGCCAGGUGUAUGCUUAGUGUCAGAAUCACUCCAAAGGAAUAUUUAAGCAGUCCUCACAUAAAAAGUAGGCACAGAGGAAGAGGAAAUGAACGCAGCGCUCCCC